AAAGACAGAAAAAUAAAGUAAUUUUAUGUAAGAUUUCUUUGGGAGCUGUUAUUCUUCACAGAUAACUGCACUCCCUUUGUGUUUCACAUGUAAAAUCAGUUGUCAAGAACACCUGUAUAAUUUGGUGUCGCCUUAUCAACUUUAUUUUCUGAUUACACUGAUUGUCAAAAUUUCUUAUAAUUCGAAGUGAUUUUUUUUUUUUGAAUGAAAAACAAGAGGCUCAGAAUAGCCUUAAAAGUAGCCCAGUAAAGGUUAUGAUAUUUCUCAUUUAAAGCUGAACUGUGUUGACACAAUAUCAAGUGAUUUGACAGUAUUCCUAGAAAUUGAAUGAUUUGCAUACGAAAAUUAGAGUUUGUAAUUAAAAUCUUUAAUAUAUUCACUGGUGACAUAGGGGCAGUCUCCAGUGUCAGUGUAGACUGGACAGUGAACUAAUUGAGAGCAGCUCUGCCUACAAGGGUUUGCAGAUAUUCAUGGAUGAAAAACUGGGUAUGAACUGACAGUGUGUUUACAGCCUGGAAGGCCAACAGCAUCCUAGACUGCAUCAAAAGAGUAGUGGCCAGCAGGGUGAGGGAUGGGAUUGUCUCCCUCUGCUCUGCCUUCAUGAGGACCUAUCUGAAGUACGGCAUCCAGGGCUGGGGCUCCCAGUACAGGUGUGGUGCAGAGCUACUGCAGUACGUCCAGCUGAAGACUAUAACCAUGAUCAGAGGGAGGUCUGUAGCAUCUCUUCUAUGAAGAAAAGCGGAGGGAGCUGGCUUGUUUAAGCUUGUAGAAGUGAAGGCUAUGGGGAGUCCUCAUUGUGGCCUUUCUGUAAAGGAGGCCUAUAGGAAAGACAAGAAAACUUUUUACCAGGGCUUGUAGUGGCAGGAAAGGAUAACUUACAGUAGUUUUAAACUGAAAAGGAGUAGAUUCAGAUUGGAUAUAGAGAAGAAAGUUUUCAUACUGAGGGUGAUGAAAUAGACAUUAGAACAGGAAUAUCAGGGAAAUUUUGCCCAAUUUUGGAAGUGUUUGAAGUUUGCCUUGACAGUGGAAGGUGUUUCUGAUCAUGGCAGGAGUUUUAGACUAGAUGAUCAUUAAGAAUUCCUUCCAACUGAAACCAUUUUAUGAUUCUAUGGUUUUAUGAUCCUGUGCUUUAUGGACUACUGAGCUAGCAUUGCAGCAUGUAGUACUGUGGCAUAUAUGGCUAAAAAAUUACUGACAAAUAUGAAUAAUUUUUUUGUGUGAAAUUCACAGUUGCUAACAGCUCUUUGGAAAAGGCAAAGCUUAGGACCUGUAACACCCUAUAACCUUCAGAAACUCACCAUGUAUAUAAAUUAGACAAUCACGAGAAACACCAAAGCCAGUGUCUCAAGUGUCCUUUAUAGUGGUCUCCUGUGAGGGCUUUAAUAAAGAAGAAAGAUUCUGUACCAGGGAACACUCCACAUGUUGAAAAAUCUAGUAGUGUUUACAGGAAAUAACGACAAGUUCCAGCUUUAUGAUACCCCAAAACUGUGCUGUUGUGCUCUUUUGAAAUAUGAGACUUCUGCGUAGUUCUUAACCAUUGCAGGUGAAUAUGCAGAGGCACAAUUCUACAUUAGGAAACCAAAGAAUCAAAUUCUGGUACUCUCUCAGCUGUCUAGUCUAAAACUAGUGGAAAGUGGCAUUUGAGCCCAGUUGGCAUCAUAUUUUUCUCUCACUAAAGGGAAUUUCCUAGCAGUCCCACAGUAACAUUACAGAGAAGUAAAGUUGUCUACUAACAGUGAGAUUCAGUGUAGGCAUGGUUCUGCCGUACUCCUGCCCACUGUCUAUCAAGAUUCUUCCUCCCUUCCUCCCUAUGCACAGUGAUGAAUCAGCUCUCGCUCAACACAGCAGUGGCUUAAUAGGAUCAAAGGUUUCCUACAUAAAUGUUAGGAUUUUGGAAGAGCACAUUCCAAACAAAACUCUCCCAUAGUAAAAUAAAGUAGCUGAAAUGGGAUUUUGACUAUAUCAUUCUAAUUUCUUAUUCCUCUUUAAAAAAUUCUCGCUUCAAGACUUUUGGUUGUGCUGUAGCAACCACAGUGUAGUGAAAUGAUCCUUGUUCAUACAAUAACUUGGCAGGAACACAUUAGGAGUCUUUCAGUGCUUCAGUGUUUAGCAUGUUAGAAACACUUAGCUCUGCCUGUGCAGUUUUGUCCUUUACAGUCAAACUAAAUCCUGUAACUGCUGAUUGCAAGGGAGGUGUCUAAAUAUGGAACAGCUAACUCCUGUGUGGGACCCAGCAGUAAAGGUUUUAUAAUAAACCAUUUUUCUUGUAGAAGCAAAAUCACUGCAAGAAUAAAAAAAGUCCAUGGGAGAAUUUUCUGACUGCCUCUAAAUGUGGUGCAACAUUUAACUCCCACUGUGCCCACCCUUCUGCCAUAGGCCUGUCAUGAUGCUAAAGAAAGUUAUUUAAAAUAAUAGGGGUGACUCCCACUAUGUGAAACCAAGCUGAUCAUUGUCAGCAUUUUGUACAGAAUCCGUGCCUUGGAAUGAAUUAUGUAUUGUAGAAGUAAUAGCUUCUAGAAAUUGUGCAUGAAACUUUUCUACUUCCUAUGAUGAAAGAGAACUAAAGAACACAUAGAGAAAGUACUGUCUGUGUCUUAUAAUGGUGUAAAUUACCUUCAGCGUCAAGAAUGUACUCAUUUGCAUGAGAUAGAGGAGUUGAAGGAGCAGCUAUCUCAGGAGGUGUGGAGAUGUAAUUUUAGUAUAAAGCAAAAAAUUAACCUCUGCUUUGGUGGGAAACUGCAGAAUGUAUAAGGGAAUUGAGCUGAGAAACUGCUUUGCUUUCCGGCUGUUGGUUUAACCUCACACAGUGUAACUAUAAAGUGUGGCCACUGUCUUGGUGUAAGUUUCUGUUCCAGUUGCAUAUGGCAUUGCAUGAAGCUGUGGCUGGUACAGGAAAGAAAACUGAAUAAUACCAUAGAAUCAUUUGAGCUGGGAGGGACCCUUAAAUUCGUCUUGUCCACCUCCUCUGCAAUAAUCAGGAACACGUACAGCUAGACUGGGGUUCUUGGAACCCUGUCCAGCCUGAAUUUGAAUAUCUCCAUGGAUGAGGCACCCACCACCUCUCUGGGCAACCUGUGCAGUUGCCUCACCACCCUUAUUGUAAAAAUCUUUUUCUUUAUGUCCAAUCUAAUUCUCCUCCCUUUUAGUUUGAAACCAUUUCCCUUUGUCUUAUCACCAAAUUGCUAUUAGUACUGGCAGUAUGGCAGUAGGUAAUUGAAUAUUUUUUUGCAAAAAAGCAUUUUCUUUUUUCUUCCAUAGCCAAGUAAAAUACUUUAAAAUCAUAGAAUCACAGAGUAGUUGAGGUUGGAAGGACCCUCUGGCUGUCAGCUGGUCCAGCAGAGCAUGUCUCUUGCUUUUGUCAUUGGCUUUGGUGCUCUCCAGGGGCUCAUUUGGAUUGCUUGCUGUAUUGUCCCUCCAAAAGCCAUGAAGGUGGCUGAAAGCCCCCAUGAGAACUGGGACUUUCUAUGUGUCUGUAGAAGGCCUAAUCCACUUGUUUUUACUAAUCAGGUGGCAUAUAGUAGGCAUGCACUACAGUCUCACUGCUACUGAUCUGCUCAUAAAUUCUUACCCAUGAGAAUUCAGUUGGCUUGUCAUCCAACCCCACAUAGAGCUUCAUGCAUUUCCACAUUUUCUCACAUAUGGGAAGCUUAACUUCCUUGUCUUAUGGGUCUGGUUUUCCUAAGGAACAUGUACUCCAAUCAGCAAUACAACAAUACGUCUUACCUUAAAAAAUAUCUGGCCAGUCAUUUUAUUAUAGCCAGGCAUGAGCCAAUGACAUGCACUUCCUCAAGAAGAUAUUACUAGCAGAAAACACAGUGCCUGGACUUGGUACUCAUGCUGAACAGCAUAAGGUUCUAAUUAUGUAUGCAGCAAAGACAUUAACUAUGAAUAGUACUUUGAGCUUAUUCCUAAUCCUAAGUAUUUCCCGCUCAUACACUGCAAAUCUCAAUUUUCUUUUCCUAUCAAAAUUUCGUUUCCAUAAUUAAUCAACCUCAGUGCAUUUGUUAUACCAGCUAACAGAAGAAUAAGAUU
ensembl:lncRNA